rnacentral:rRNA from 1 species
AUUGAACGCUGGCGGCAGGCCUAACACAUGCAAGUCGAACGGUAACAGGAAGCAGCUUGCUGCUUUGCUGACGAGUGGCGGACGGGUGUGUAAUGUCUGGGAAACUGCCCGAUGGAGGGGGAUAACUACUGGAAACGGUAGCUAAUACCGCAUAACGUCGCAAGACCAAAGAGGGGGACCUUAGGGCCUCUUGCCAUCGGAUUUGCCCAGAUGGGAUUAGCUAGUAGGUGGGGUAACGGCUCACCUAGGCGACGAUCCCUAGCUGGUCUGAGAGGAUGACCAGCCACACUGGAACUGAGACACGGUCCAGACUCCUACGGGAGGCAGCAGUGGGGAAUAUUGCACAAUGGGCGCAAGCCUGAUGCAGCCAUGCCGCGUGUAUGAAGAAGGCCUUCGGGUUGUAAAGUACUUUCAGCGGGGAGGAAGGGAGUAAAGUUAAUACCUUUGCUCAUUGACGUUACCCGAAGAAGAAGCACCGGCUAACUACGUG